rnacentral:rRNA from 1 species
UACGGGGGGAGCAAGCGUUGUUCGGAUUUACUGGGCGUAAAGGGCGCGUAGGCGGCGCAACAAGUCACUUGUGAAAUCUCCGGGCUUAACUCGGAAAGGUCAAGUGAUACUGUUGUGCUAGAGUGCGGAAGGGGCAACUGGAAUUCUCGGUGUAGCGGUGAAAUGCGUAGAGAUCAGGAAGAACACCAGUGGCGAAGGCGCUCUGCUAGGCCGUAACUGACACUGAGGGACGAAAGCUAGGGGAGCGAAUGGG